GACGAACGCUGGCGGCGUGCUUAACACAUGCAAGUCGAACGGUGAUGCUCCAGCUUGCUGGAGUGGAUCAGUGGCGAACGGGUGAGUAACACGUGAGCAACCUGCCCCAGACUCUGGAAUAAGCGCUGGAAACGGCGUCUAAUACUGGAUACGAAACUGGCCCGCAUGGGCAUGGUUUGGAAAGUUUUUCGGUUUGGGAUGGGCUCGCGGCCUAUCAGCUUGUUGGUGAGGUAAUGGCUCACCAAGGCGACGACGGGUAGCCGGCCUGAGAGGGCGACUGGCCACACUGGGACUGAGACACGGCCCAGACUCCUACGGGAGGCAGCAGUGGGGAAUAUUGCACAAUGGGCGAAAGCCUGAUGCAGCGACGCCGCGUGAGGGAUGACGGCCUUCGGGUUGUAAACCUCUUUCAGCAGGGAAGAAGCGAAAGUGACGGUACCUGCAGAAGAAGCACCGGCUAACUACGUG
rnacentral:rRNA from 1 species